GUGAGGAAUAUUGGUCAAUGGGCGCAAGCCUGAACCAGCCAUCCCGCGUGCAGGAAGACGGCGCUAUGCGUUGUAAACUGCUUUUCCAGGGAGAGAAACUUGCGCACGUGUUGCGCAAUUGACGGUACCCUGGGAAUAAGCAUCGGCUAACUCCGUGCCAGCAGCCGCGGUAAUACGGAGGAUGCGAGCGUUAUCCGGAUUCAUUGGGUUUAAAGGGUGCGUAGGCGGACUAUUAAGUCAGUGGUGAAAUCCUGCAGCUUAACUGCAGAACUGCGAUUGAUACUGAUAGCCUUGAGUUUGGUUAAGGUAGGCGGAAUGUGUAAUGUAGCGGUGAAAUGCUUAGAUAUUACACAGAACACCAAUUGCGUAGGCAGCUUACUGAGCCGACACUGACGCUGAGGCACGAAAGCGUGGGGAUCGAACAGGAUUAGAAACCCGUGUAGUCC
rnacentral:rRNA from 1 species